GUGUGUGUAAUUUAAAAAAAAUAUCAAGCCGUGACCCUGACAAUAGGAUGCACUCCUCGCACACCC
rnacentral:tRNA from 1 species